GGGUCCUCGGAGUUGUGGCGCAGGCAUCCCACCUGCGCGCAGCCGAGGGUCAGGCGCGCACACGGAGCGAGGCCCUGCACCUGCCCCCGACUCUUGCUCACGAAACCUGCCGGACCGUCGGGCGGCUCACCCGUGACUUGCUUUCUUUUCAGCCUUCUGAAAACUGUUGCACUCCUGGAAGUGUUGCUCUCCUGUGCUUGUGCCGAAUUACUGAUGCGCUGGUCUAACUCCCCGGUGGACUGUGCACCUUGUGUUCAGAGCUUGACCAGCGCCUGGAACGCUGAAGUACCGGAGUCAAAAAAGAGCUGGUUGGUCUUUAAUUAGGAAAAUGGUGACCCUGGAAACUCCCAUCUGCUCAUUUCUCAUCUUAGUUCACAGUUCCCUUCCUUCUCCCUGUGCGUUCACUUGCUGUUCUUUUUCUGACUUCCGGGACUGGGAGCUGCGAGCCUCUCUCAGCAACUGUCCUGCUUCUGUCAUCUACGCGUCAGUGUUACACCGAUUUCUCCCAGCGAUGCUCAGCAGCGUCCACCGGCUGUGACGGGCCAUGUUGUGAUUACGUGUCAAUUACAAAUAUUUGCUAAUUUCCGCUGUUCUUCGGCUUCUCAGUAACGACCGAGAGGGCGAGGUGCAGCUGCUGUGCUUGCCUUCCGUUGCUGACUCCAGGGGAAUCGCGUUGUGUGGGCAAACAUACGUCCUCACAGCUUAGUCCUACAGCAGCUGGCACACAGCUAAGGACCUCUGGACACGCAGAAGACCUCACCACAAGCUCCAUGUGGGCUCUGAGGGUGCGUUGCAGCCCGGGGUCCCUGCUUGCCAGGCGGGAAGGGCUCACGGCCAGAGCUCCGCCAUCAGCACCUGCUCCCGGAUGUGAGGUCCUUUCCGGCGUGGUGAGCUGCAAACAAACGUACCCAAAAGUGUGUGUUUCAGAUGUCUGUAUUCCAGGAGUGAAAUGACUGGGUCAUACGGAAAAUUUUACUGAACAGAAUCUCAUUAAUCCUUUCUCCUAUGGUUUUUCUAUAAAUACUGCUGACCAGCUUGACAAUAUUGACAUUCGUAGAUGACCCCACCUGACAGCAAGGAAAUGCAUUUUUCUCAAGUUGAAAAAUUCACCAAGAUAAAUGAUGUUCUGGGCCAUUAAUCUAAUCCUAAAGCUGGUAAAAUAAUAGAAAACACACAAAUAUGUUCUCAGAUAUAACAAAACUGACUGGAAAUAAAAACCAAAAUUAUAUUUGGAAAAUCCCUAAAGAUAUGGACACCCAAGAGUACAUGACUACAUACCCUUGGGUCAAAAGAGAAAUCCCACAAUAAAUUAAAACUAUUUUAAACUGAAUAAAAAUACAUUGGAAAACUUGCAGGAUGUAACUAACCCAGUGCUUGGAGGGAAAUUUAGAUUAUAAAAUGUAUGUAUUAGAAUAUAGGAACCAUUUAAAAUCAGUAAUAUUAAAAAUUACAGGAAAAUUAAACAUAUUUCCAUGGACAACAAUGAACAUUUAGAACUUGAAUUUUAAAAAUACCAUUUACAAUAGCACCAAAACAAAUGGAGUACGUGGAUAUGAAUAUCACAAAAUAGGUGGGGCAUCUACCCUGAAAACACAGAACGCUGUGAAAGAAAUACAAAGGAUCUCGGUAAAUGGAGCAAAGCCUUGCAUCGGAUUAGAAGACUCAGCAUUUCAAAGAUGUCCAUUUUCCCAGUUCCCCCCAACUGGGUCAGUACAAUCUCAGUCAAAUUCCAGCACGGCUGUUCUGGAGACAACAAACCGAAUCGGAAACUCAUAAAGCAAGGCAAAGAGCUACAGUAGCCACAAGAACUCUGAGAGGCAGCAAGCGAAGAAGCGGCGACGUCGUAGGGCCCGCGUGGGGCUCGCUACACGGCUGCGGUGGUGACGGGCGGGGGUCUGCGGUGGGAGGGCCCAGGCGGGGCUGCACACCCACGGCGGCGGCGAGGGACCUCCGCACAGGCGCGAAGGCAUGCUCUGCUGAGAAGGCUGGGCUCCCAAUUCUUGCUGUUGGAAUGCUCAAACGUUCACAUGCAAAAAAACCAAAAAAAUGGACCCGUAUUUUGCCCAAAAUACAAACAAUAAUUCCCAAUGAAUGAUAGACCUAAAUGUAAAAUGAAAAAUUACAAAACUUCCAAAACAAAGCACCAGAGGAAAUCUGCAUGGCCUUGGUUCUGGGGAUGAGUUCGUAGAUAUGUGUCAUAGCAAAAGCAUGAACCAUAAAAGAAAAUUUUGUUAAAUUUGACUUAAUAAAAAAAUUUUUUAAAAACUUUUGCUUUGCAAAAGACACUGUAAAUAUCAUGAAAAGAUAAGCCUGGGACUUGGAAAAACGAUUUGCCAAUUACAAAUCUAAUAAAGGACUUGUAUCCAGAACUCUGUCCCUCUCCCUCCCUCUCUGCCUUCCUCUCCCUCUCCCCCGCACCCCCCCCCCAGCAAUAAGUAUUGCUAAAAUCCACUUUCUUCAAAGUGCCAAUGCCAAAUGCUGGUGCGGGUGUGGGGCCGCAGGCACUCUAGGUCUGUGCUGGCGGGACAGCGGAAGCAGUAGUGCCAGCCUGGAUGACAGCUUGCUCUUUCCUGUGACGACCAACACGGGCUCACCGCACGGCCCAGAAAGCCGAGAGCUGCAUCGUCACCUAAGUGCAUGGAAAACUUACAUUCCCACAAAAAGCUGUUUAUAAACCUUUCUAUCUACUUUAUAACACCUCGGAUGGGAAACAGCCAAGUUGUCCUUUAACAGAGAUUGGAUAAGCAGCGGUCUGCUCGCCCGGCAGAACAAGGCUCUGAAAAGGAGUGAGCAGUUGAUCCAGGAAGCUGCGUGAGCCUCAGCUCCGUUUUGGUGAGUGAGAGAAGCCAGACCCCAGGACUACAGAUUGCAUUUUUCCAUCUAUAUGGCAUUCUGGAGGAGGCGAAAAAUAUAGGGAUGGAAAGGAGAUCAGUGGUUUCUCAGGGUUUGGGAAGGCGUUAAGUACAGACAGGCCAAGCAGGGGAAUGCUUGGAGCAGUGGAAUCGUCCCUGUGGUGCUGGGUGCUGGGUACAUGACUACUAUUCGUCAAAUGCCGUAGAAAUGCACAAGUAAAAUUUAUUGCAUGCAAAGUUAAAAAAAUCCACCAGGACUUGAAGGGAGCCAAGAUGGAAAGCAGACUCUGACAGACUAAUCUAACUGUAUUACAAAUGAUAACCCAGCUCACAGCGUUGGCUGUGGAACUCUGGAAGAGAUGGUGGGAAGAGUCUGGCAGUGAAUUAGGUCACGACAACCUGAGGGGCUGUCAGGUCAGCCGCGUGGUGGCGCCAGAGGAUCUCAGGCGAAACCUUGCAGACACAUGAAAUUACCUAUUACCUGGUUGGAUGGGCCACUCGGGCAGCAUGGGUGAGGACAUUUUACUAAACUUGCUGAGAGUGGAUUAGUAGCAAAACCGAGAAAAUGGGAAACGCACCAGAGCCCGGGCCCCAGGGCUCCUUUGAGGGUCGCAUAGAAUCACUCGGGAUUACGAGGUUUGAUGACAUCCUGGUCAUUGAUUUUUCUCGGACUGAUUGGAACUUUGACUUGUCAGAGAUCUACGGACUGUCAGUAAAAAAGGCAACAACGUGAGUACAUGUGAUCGUAUUGGUUCACUCCACGCAGAACAAGUCAAUCUCCCCAUGGUUGCUGGACUGUCAUUACAGAGCUCUGAAUGCGACCUGUCACGUGGACGCCCACCACCCUCCUUGGCUAGAGAUGCCCACCGGUCUGCAGAGUUCACACCACCUGCAUACUCGGUGCUCUUCAGUCUCCUCGAUGGAGAACGGUCAGGCUCAUGACCCUCCGGCAGCCAUGAACUCUCACCACAGGAGCUCGUCCAGGUUUCCCUAUCAUGUAAGGGGUUCACCUCCCAAUUUUCAACUUGACCUUACUUCAGGCACACAAAGCAAAGUCCUUCAAAGAGUUCUGUGUGUUAUGCUCAGUCUGCUAGCCAAUGGUUACAGUCUGCCUUUCCUCCCAUAUGCUCCAAAGAAGCUUCUACUAACUAGAACUUGGAGAUCUUGUCUUAUUGAACAAGUGAAAAGAAAAGAACAGGACUUGAACCCAAGCUGGAAACAACUCCGUCAGUUGCCAACAAUCGCAAGCAGAGCAGUUGGACUCCAGAGCCUAGACCCCUGGCACUUGUCUCCCAGAUGAAGAGCCAGAGGGUUUGGUCCUGAAUCCCUUGGACCACCUUCCCAAGGAAAUUUUAGGGUGGAACAGAUGAUUUUGGGAAGAAGACACCUUACCCCCAAGACCUUCAGAUGAAGGAUAAAUUUGUAAGAAGUAAAUAGUUUCCAACCAGGAUCCACUGAGUAUUUUCCAGAAGGCUGGAUCUAGAGACUGUCAUGUUUUAAUCUGCAUGUUUUUAAUCUCAAUUUUUAUGUGGAUUUUCAUUACUUUUUGCUUGUGCAAGAUUCUGUAUUGUUAACAGACACUAGUUACCUCUCAACGAUGAUGCCUGUUAACGUUCUUGUCGGUAAUAUGCCUUUCUCAUCCCAUCACUUCUUGUUAUGGGUCUGCUUUCUGGUUUAAACAGUCUCAUAGUUCAGUUGACUCCUACAAUCUAAACAACUCAGGUUUAUUCUCACUUCCCUCGGGUGCCAUCCAGGCUCUUCUGGUGUCUGGUAAUGAAUCUGUAGGUUUCCAGCGUAUCUCUGCUCAACCCUGCAGAGACAUUUUAGAGGCAGCAUUAGUGAUUGUUUUAAGAAAUUCCUGUAAACCAGUUUAUCAAGAGGAACAGUUUGCUCAUCUGAACUAAAGUCGCUAGCAUGGGCAAGGCACUCAUUUGUCAAGUAGCAGCGUUCACACGAAGACUCCUGUCACAACUCUUGCUUCAGUGUGUCACCAACGCUAAGUUAGCACAUCACAAACUGUCCAGCCCCAGGCACUGAGACCGAUACGGUCUUUCUCCUUCUGACACCGUAAAGUUAGACUGCCAGGUGGGAUCUCUCGUAUGACAGUAAAUCAGAUAAACUCAGCUUUGCUUCAUCAAAAAUGUGUCAUCUUGUGUGGAAGUGAUAAUCAACACAUAAUUCUCACAAAACUGUUAAUUUAGGUGAUUUUCACGGCAUGGAUUGGGUCGCUUUUUAUUUUUAUUCCUUCCGUUAUGAUUUUGCUUUCUCUGAGACUCAUCUCUAUAGAGAGAAGGGUUGUGGAGUUCCGGGUGUUCUGACCAUCCCUGGAGAAACCUUAAAUCCCAAAGAUUCUUAAGGAGCUACAAUAUACAUUUUUUAUUGUUUUCGUUUACUGAUUACUUCUCAUAGCAUACAUGUGUGUACACGUCUCACAGUCAUUGUGUGUUGUAUGCAAAAGCAGAUUUCUCUUUUCUGUCUUCCUGACAAGCCUUUCCCUGGAAGCUCCAUGCGUUGGUCCUGCGAGCGUGUGUGUUGGCGUAUCUGUGUGACGGGCGGGGUGCUAGAGGCAUUAGCCUUCUUUUGCAAAUGAAGAAUACAAGGCUCGAAAGGUUACAUAACUUGCUCAAGGACACACAAUUAGUUGAAGAACUAGAAUUCAUACUUUUUGAAGACCUGACAAAAUUUGAAAAGAAUUCAGAAAUUUAACUUAAAUUUAUGUAAAACUCAAAUUCAAUGGAAAUGUAUUGAAUAGACCUUACUUAUUAGAUCUCAUUCAGGAACUUCCAGUAGAUCCAAAAAUACUGAAAUUACAUGGAGUAAUGUCUUUUUGGGUAACUGAAUAUUUAAUAGCAGUACUGAGAUAUACUGCACAUACCACACACAUCAAUAUUUUAAUAGCAGCAUUGAGCUAUAAUGCAUACGCCAUCCAAGUCAAUGUUUUUAGCAUACGCUCAGGCUUCUGCAACCACAACCACAAUGUAACUUUGGAACAUUUUUAUUCUUAAAGAGCCAAUGCCCAUGAGCAUCCGUUCCACUCCCCCCAGAGCCCUCCCCUCCAGCCCCUUCGACCACUAAUCUAUUCUGCGUCUCUGCAGAUCUGUCUACUCUGAGCAUUUCAUACAAACGUCAUCUUAUAAUCCAUGGUCUUUGUUUCUGGCCUCUCUCACUUAGUGUCAUGUUCUCAAGGUUCACCGACAUUUAUAGCCUGCAUCAUAGUUCAUUUGUCUUCAUUGGACUGAUUUUUUAAAAAAUCUUUCCAAACUUUGUAUUUGCCCUAAGCAUGUUACUGACUGAAUUCAUGAAACCUUUGAAACACUUUUUAAGAAAAGUCUCAAGUUGCUAUUAUCAGAAAGAAUAAUACACAGCAUUGGAAAAGAAUUUGUCCAUAAAUAAAAUCUCUUUGAAAAGCCCAAUUGCUGGAAGUGAAAAUGCCUAACGGAGAAGUAACAUGGGAUAGAGAGACACUAACUUACACUCCAUUUCGUGGUGAGAAAGAGAAGACGCUUAUUAGGAGAAGCAAUUCCUGAUCACACGUAAAAGGACAUAAACGCUCCUCACAGAGCACCUUGAAGAGGACCCAUGAUAAUAUUUAUUAAGUAUACGCACGGGAAGCAGAUUUUUCUUUGGGAGGCAAAAUGUUUAAAUCCAUGCAUGUCCUAAGAAUUACAGUUUUACUGGGGAAACAAACUUUAUAGAAAUACCAGUAGGAGAAAUUAAAGAGGGGAUGAAGGGGUUACGUGGAGGCUACGGGUUUCCUGGUGCUCCCCCCACCCCGCAAUUCCACGUCUUGUGGUUGUUCCCUGACCCUCUAGGACAAGUGAGAACGUACCAAACUUGUCUCCAAAUGGGUUAAUGCAUUUCCCAGACCUCUUUCACUCAGUCUAAAUAUAGAACCACAGGAGUGUGGGGAAUGUUCUGACGCACAUCAGAAAAUAUUGGUUUAAUCUUCAGAUUCACUCUUGAAUCUUGGACAAGUGGCUUGAGGUCUCUGACCCUCAAAUUCCUCAUUUAUGAAAUAGAGGCAGCGGUUGAGGACUUGCAGGCCUCUUGUGAUGACUAAUUAGUGCGGUGAAUUCCUAGGCGAGGCCUGGCUUGCCGUGCACCCUCCAUGCAGGGCCCUUGACGUCCCUCCCAGGCCUGCUGCUCUCCGAGACAGAGGCAGCUUAAGAAAAGGAGAUUUUAAAUUUCUCACCUGCAACUUCAACAAGAAACCGUAAGCACAUAUGGUUUCCAUCUCACGUGGAGGAGCCACGGGUCAUAAUUAACUCUCGUUUCGGCACAGUGAGCUGCUAAUGUGAGCUCCAGCUUCUCGUGUGGUGGUUAACAGAGAAGGUCCUGCAUCUGUCCACCCCCUGAACCAGCUGUUCCAAGGCUUCAGAAGCCCAUGACUUAGGGAAGUUACCCAGUCUCUACUGUUGCAACGCGACGCUUUUGGGCAUGAAGCUGAGAAGUUCGUUUGAAAAAGAAGGAUGGGGGGCGCCUGGGUGGCACAGCGGUUGGGCGUCUGCC